UCUCUUCCUGUUGCCCAUUAUGUAUGGAGGCAGAGGGGAAGGGCUCCGGCCCCUUCAGCGUCAUGUCUUUGGUGCCAGUGGGUUCCUGUCUGCCAGUUCUAUCCUCAAGCAUGGGGACGUGG